CGGGGGGGGGUCCUAUACUGCAGUCGAGCGAACAGAUAAGGAGCUUGCUCCUCUGACGUUAGCGGCGGACGGGUGAGUAACACGUGGGUAACCUACCUAUAAGACUGGAAUAACUCCGGGAAACCGGGGCUAAUGCCGGAUAACAUUUAAAACCGCAUGGUUCUAAGGUGAAAGAUGGUUUUGCUAUCACUUAUAGAUGGACCCGCGCCGUAUUAGCUAGUUGGUAAGGUAACGGCUUACCAAGGCAACGAUACGUAGCCGACCUGAGAGGGUGAUCGGCCACACUGGAACUGAGACACGGUCCAGACUCCUACGGGAGGCAGCAGUAGGGAAUCUUCCGCAAUGGGCGAAAGCCUGACGGAGCAACGCCGCGUGAGUGAUGAAGGUCUUCGGAUCGUAAAACUCUGUUAUUAGGGAAGAACAAAAUGUAAGUAACUGUGCACGACUUGACGGUACCUAAUCAGAAAGCCACGGCUAACUACGUGCCAGCAGCCGCGGUAAUACGUAGGUGGCAAGCGUUAUCCGGAAUUAUUGGGCGUAAAGCGCGCGUAGGCGGUUUCUUAAGUCUGAUGUGAAAGCCCACGGCUCAACCGUGGAGGGUCAUUGGAAACUGGGAAACUUGAGUGCAGAAGAGGAAAGAGGAAYUCCCUGUGAACCGGGUGAAAUGCG
rnacentral:rRNA from 1 species